rnacentral:rRNA from 1 species
CCCUCCUACGGGGGGCAGCAGUAGGGAAUAUUCCGCAAUGGACGAAAGUCUGAUGGAGCAACGCCGCGUGAGUGAAGAAGGGUUUCGGCUCGUAAAGCUCUGUUGGUAGUGAAGAAAGAUAGAGGUAGUAACUGGCCUUUAUUUGACGGUAAUUACUUAGAAAGUCACGGCUAACUACGUGCCAGCAGCCGCGGUAAUACGUAGGUGGCAAGCGUUGUCCGGAUUUAUUGGGCGUAAAGCGAGUGCAGGCGGUUUCAUAAGUCUUACGUGAAAGCCUUCUGGUCAACC